rnacentral:tRNA from 1 species
GCCUGGGUGGCUCAGUCGGUUAAGCGUCUGACUUCGGCUCAGGUCAUGAUCUCACGGUCCGUGAGUUUGAGCCCCACGUCGGGCU